rnacentral:rRNA from 1 species
UCCACACAGUAAACGAUAUACACUAGAUGUUGGGUAUCGAACAGGAUUAGAUACCCUGGUAGUCCACACAGUAAACGAUAUACACUAGAUGUUGGGUCGGGCACAGUCCGAUUCAGUGUCGUAGCUAACGCGUUAAGUGUAUCGCCUGGGGAGUACGAUCGCAAGGUUUAAACUCAAAGGAAUUGGACGGGGGCCCGCACAAGCGGUGGAGCAUGUGGUUUAAA